AUGUGUCUGUCUAUCCCUGUUCUCUCCUCUCUGCACAGGCCACACAAACACUUCACACCGCAUGGCCGCUGCCACUCUAACCUGGUGGUCCCAGCGCGCACGACCCACGUGGAGUUCCAGGUCUCCGGCAGCCUCUGGAACUGCCGGUCUGCGGCCAACAAGGCAGAGUUCAUCUCAGCCUAUGCUACCCUCCAGUCCCUCGACUUCUUGGCGCUGACGGAAACAUGGAUUACCACAGAAAACACUGCUACUCCUACUGCUCUCUCCUCGUCUGACCACGUGUUCUCGCAUACCCCGAGAGCAUCUGGUCAGCGGGGUGGUGGCACUGGAAUCCUCAUCUCUCCCAAGUGGGCAUUCUCCCUUUCUCCCCUGACCCAUCUGUCUAUCUCCUCCUUUGAAUUCCAUGCUGUCACAGUCACUAGCCCAUUCAAGCUUAACAUCCUUAUCAUUUAUCGCCCUCCAGGUUCCCUUGGAGAGUUCACCAAUGAGCUUGACGCCUUGAUAAGUUCCUUUCCUGAGGAUGGCUCACCCCUCACAAUUCUGGGUGACUUUAACCUCCCUACAUCUACCUUUGACUCAUUUCUCUCUGCGUCCUUCUUUCCACUCCUCUCCUCUUUUGGCCUCACCCUCUCACCGUCCCCCCCUACGCUUGACCUCAUCUUUACUAGAUGCUGUUCUUCUACUAAUCUCACUGCAACUCCCCUCCAAGUCUCCGACCACUACCUUGUAUCCUUUUCCCUCUCGCUCUCCUCCAACACUACUCACUCUGCCCCUACUCAGAUGGUAUUGCGCCGUCGCAACCUUCGCUCUCUCUCUCCUGCUACUCUCUCCUCUUCCAUUUUAUCAUCUCUUCCCUCUGCUCAAUCCUUCUCCAACCAAUCUCCUGAUUCUGCCUCCUCAACCCUCCUCUCCUCCCUUUCUGCAUCCUUUGACUCUCUAUGUCCCCUAUCCUCCCGGCCGGCUCGGUCCUCCCCUCCUGCUCCGUUGCUUGACGACUCAUUGCAAGCACACAGAACAGGGCUCCGGGCAGCCGUGCGGAAAUGGAGGAAAACUAGCCUCCCUGUGGACCUGGCAUCUUUUCACUCCCUCCUCUCAACAUUUUCUUCCUCUGUUUCUGCUGCUAAAGCCACUUUCUACCACUCUAAAUUCCAAGCAUCUGCCUCUAACCCUAGGAAGCUCUUUGCCACCUUCUCCUCCCUCCUGAAUCCUCCUCCCCCUCCCCCCCUCCUCCCUCUCUGCGGAUUACUUUGUCAACCAUUUUGA
rnacentral:lncRNA from 8 species